GUUCAGUGAUGCCUUUUAACAAAUGUCUGACCUGAACUAUAAUGUGGACAAAUGUUACUGAGGAA
ensembl:snoRNA